UGAAUGAAAUUUGCAUAUAAAUAGAAGCGAUCAAGCUAAUCUGGGCAGUGGAUUAGAGGUGGAUAAUUUGCAUAAGAAUAGUCUAGACCGAGACAGGCGCAGGCACGAGUUAAGUAUAGUAUAAAUAAAUUAGAAAUGUUUUCGGUCAUUCGUUCUAAUUCGUUUGCUUAUACUACUACACUCGUGAAAAUACAUCGUUUGUUUGGUUUAGUUCACAGUUCCAUUAUUAAGUUUCAAUAUAAUAGUGGAAAUAUCUACCUCAUUAGUCUUAUUUACUAGACUAAGCCAAAUGUGUACGGCACGCGCUUUAUCAGUCGAUCUAUCUUCAGUCAACAUGCAUGACGUAUAGACGAUCAGCUGUUUCUCGUUGUGAAUGGGAUGGAUGGGAGGAGGGUUUUCAGCCGCGCCGGAAACCGGAGCUUCGAAUUCUCUACAGUCAAGGCACAAACGGUCCACGCCAGUGGUAGCAGCAGUGACUGGGCAGCAACCAGUCAGAUGAAAAAGACAGUUUUGAAAACAUUUAGUGAUGGCAAUCAAACAACUGGCAAGUUCCGUCAAAUAGAUUUGGAGAAAGUCGCAGAUACUUUGGGGAAACCUGAAGAGGGGCUCCAGGACAUUUUGUCCACUGUGAAGGCCGUCACAGAGGACCUCGUUUAUAAUUGUGAGGACAGUGAGGACUCUGAAACUUCUUCGGGUGCCGAUAGUUCAACCAGUCUUGAGAGUGAAGCAAGGGAGCCGCGAAAAAAGAAGAGGAAGCUAUUAGGGGUAAUUGGCCGAAUGGGGGAAUAAACUAUCAUAACCUACUUGCUAAUUGGGAUAAACUUAUACUUCAAACUUUGAUUUUAAUAGGCGUUAUAUGUCAUAAUGGAUACCUAAUGAUGUAUAAAAUAACUGGUUUCAAUGUCCAGGUAUAAUGUUAUACCACAAACUAUCUAAGUUUAUAUUUCAUACUUACAACCGUAAGAAGUACAUUACAGAGUAUCAUACAGCCGUACUUUGGCAAAGGAAACAAGUUACAAAACAUUAAUUUGUUGAAAAUGAGUAAUGUGUGUUCAUCAUAUAAAUAGGUGUAAUUGCAAUUUUACAGCAGUUUUUCUUCAGUAUCUUUCAUUGAACAAUCACUUCUUCACCAAAUUCAGCCUGAAUGUGCCACAUACAAAGGGUGUUUCAGAAACAGCAAUAACUCAAAUUUAAGUGAUGUGUCACUUGCUUCCUUUUGCCAAAGUUGGGCAGGUAUAAGCUUAUCACUUUUGAUUUGUAUUGCCUCAUACAUUGCAGAGUAUCAUACAGGUAUAAGCUUAUCCCGUUUGAUUUGUAUUGCCUCAUACAUUGCAGAGUAUCCUACAGGUAUAAGCUUAUCCCAUUUGACUUGUAUUACCUCAUACAUUGCAGAUAAUCAUACAGGGAUAAGCUUAUCCCAUUUGAUUUGUAUAACCACAUACAUCGCAGAGGAUCAUAAAGGUAUAAGCUUAUCCCAUUUGAUUUAUAUUGCCUCGUACAUUGUAGAGUGUCAUACAGGUAUAAGCUUAUCCUAUUUGAUUUGUAUAACUUGUCCACUACAGAGUAUCAUGCAGGUAUAAGCUUAUCCCUUUUGAUUUGUAUUGCCUCAUACAUUGCAGAGUAUCCUGCAGGGAUAAGCUUAUCCCAUUUGAUAUGUAUAACUUGUACAUUGCAGAGUAUCGUAGUGGUAUAAGCUUAUCCCUUUUGAUUUGUACUACCUCAUACAUUGCAGAGUAUCGUACUGGUAUAAGCUUAUCCCAUUUGAUUUGUAUUACUCGUACAUUGCAGAGUAUCAUACAGGUAUAAGCUUAUCCCAUUUGAUUUCCAUAACCUCAUACAUUACAGAGUAUCCUACAGGUAUAAGCUUAUCCCAUUUGAUUUGUAUUACCUCAUACAUUGCAGAGAAUCAUUCAGGUAUAAGCUUAUCCCAUUUGAUUUGAAUUACCUCAUACAUUGCAGAGUAUCGUACAGGGAUAAGCUUAUCCCUUUUGAUAUGUAUUGCCUCAUACAUUGUAGAGUAUCCGACAGGUAUAAGCUUAUCCCAUUUGAUUUGUAAAACUCGUACAUUGCAGAGUAUAGUACUGGUAUAAGCUUAUCCCUUUUGAUUUGUAUUGCCUUGUCCACUACAGAGUAUCAUGCAGGUAUAAGCUUAUCCCUUUUGAUUUGUAUUGCCUCAUACAUUGCAGAGUAUCCUGCAGGGAUAAGCUUAUCCCAUUUGAUAUGUAUAACUUGUACAUUGCAGAGUAUCGUAGUGGUAUAAGCUUAUCCCUUUUGAUUUGUACUACCUCAUACAUUGCAGAGUAUCGUACUGGUACAAGCUUAUCCCAUUUGAUUUGUAUUACUCGUACAUUGCAGAGUAUCAUACAGGUAUAAGCUUAUCCCAUUUGAUUUCCAUAACCUCAUACAUUACAGAGUAUCCUACAGGUAUAAGCUUAUCCCAUUUGAUUUGUAUUACCUCAUACAUUGCAGAGAAUCAUUCAGGUAUAAGCUUAUCCCAUUUGAUUUGAAUUACCUCAUACAUUGCAGAGUAUCGUACAGGGAAAAGCUUAUCCCUUUUGAUAUGUAUUGCCUCAUACAUUGUAGAGUAUCCGACAGGUAUAAGCUUAUCCCAUUUGAUUUGUAAAACUCGUACAUUGCAGAGUAUAGUACUGGUAUAAGCUUAUCCCUUUUGAUUUGAUUUGUAUUGCCUUGUCCACUACAGAGUAUCAUGCAGGUAUAAGCUUAUCCCUUUUGAUUUGUAUUGCCUCAUACAUUGCAGAGUAUCCUGCAGGGAUAAGCCUAUCCCAUUUGAUAUGUAUAACUUGUACAUUGCAGAGUAUCGUAGGGGUAUAAGCUUAUCCCUUUUGAUUUGUACUACCUCAUAUAUUGCAGAGUAUCGUACUGGUAUAAGCUUAUCCCAUUUGAUUUGUAUUACUUGUACAUUGCAGAGUAUCCUAAAGGUAUAAGCUUAUCCCUUUUGAUAUGAAUUACCUCAUACAUCGCAGAGUAUCUUACAGGUAUAAGCUUAUCCCAUUUGAUAUGUAUUGCCUCAUACAUUGUAGAGUAUCGUACAGGUAUAAGCUUAUCCCAUUUGAUUUGAAUUACCUCAUACACUGCAGAGUAUCGUACGGGGAUAAGCUUAUCCCAUUUGAUAUGUAUUGCCUCAUACAUUGUAGAGUAUCGUACAGGUAUAAGCUUAUCCCAUUUGAUUUGAAUUACCUCAUACACUGCAGAGUAUCGUACGGGGAUAAGCUUAUCCCAUUUGACUUGUAUUCCUCAUACACUGCAGAGUAUCGUACGGGGAUAAGCUUAUCCCUUUUGAUAUGUAUUGCCUCAUACAUUGUAGAGUAUCCUACAGGUACCGGGUAUAAGCUUAUCCUUUGGAUUUGUAUUACCUCAUACACUGCAGAGUAUCGUACAGGGAUAAGCUUAUCCCUUUUGAUAUGUAUUGCCUCAUACAUUGUAGAGUAUCUGACAGGUAUAAGCUUAUCCCAUUUGAUUUGAAUUACCUCAUACACUGCAGAGUAUCGUACGGGGAUAAGCUUAUCCCUUUUGAUAUGUAUUGCCUCAUACAUUGUAGAGUAUCGUACAGGUAUAAGCUUAUCCUAUUUGAUUUGUAUAACUUGUACAUUGCAGAGUAUCGUAGUGGUAUAAGCUUAUCCCUUUUGAUUUGUACUACCUCAUACAUUGCAGAGUAUCGUACUGGUAUAAGCUUAUCCCAUUUGAUUUGUAUUACUCGUACAUUGCAGAGUAUCAUACAGGUAUAAGCUUAUCCCAUUUGAUUUCCAUAACCUCAUACAUUACAGAGUAUCCUACAGGUAUAAGCUUAUCCCAUUUGAUUUGUAUUACCUCAUACAUUGCAGAGAAUCAUUCAGGUAUAAGCUUAUCCCAUUUGAUUUGAAUUACCUCAUACAUUGCAGAGUAUCGUACAGGGAUAAGCUUAUCCCUUUUGAUAUGUAUUGCCUCAUACAUUGUAGAGUAUCCUACAGGUAUAAGCUUAUCCCAUUUGAUUUGUAAAACUCGUACAUUGCAGAGUAUAGUACUGGUAUAAGCUUAUCCCUUUUGAUUUGUAUUGCCUUGUCCACUACAGAGUAUCAUGCAGGUAUAAGCUUAUCCCUUUUGAUUUGUAUUGCCUCAUACAUUGCAGAGUAUCCUGCAGGGAUAAGCUUAUCCCAUUUGAUAUGUAUAACUUGUACAUUGCAGAGUAUAGUAGUGGUAUAAGCUUAUCCCUUUUGAUAUGAAUUACCUCAUACAUCGCAGAGUAUCUUACAGGUAUAAGCUUAUCCCUUUUGAUUUGUAUUGCCUCAUACAUUGCAGAGUAUCCUGCAGGGAUAAGCUUAUCCCAUUUGAUAUGUAUAACUUGUACAUUGCAGAGUAUAGUAGUGGUAUAAGCUUAUCCCUUUUGAUAUGAAUUACCUCAUACAUCGCAGAGUAUCUUACAGGUAUAAGCUUAUCCCUUUUGAUAUGUAUUGCCUCAUACAUUGUAGAGUAUCGUACAGGUAUAAGCUUAUCCCAUUUGACUUGUAUUCCUCAUACAUUGUAGAGUUUCCUACAGGUACCGGGUAUAAGCUUAUCCUUUGGAUUUGUAUUACCUCAUACACUGCAGAGUAUCGUACAGGGAUAAGCUUAUCCCUUUUGAUAUGUAUUGCCUCAUACAUUGUAGAGUAUCGUACAGGUAUAAGCUUAUCCUAUUUCAUUUGUAUAACUUGUACAUUGCAGAGUAUCGUAGUGGUAUAAGCUUAUCCCUUUUGAUUUGUACUACCUCAUACAUUGCAGAGUAUCGUACUGGUAUAAGCUUAUCCCAUUUGAUUUGUAUUACUCGUACAUUGCAGAGUAUCAUACAGGUAUAAGCUUAUCCCAUUUGAUUUCCAUAACCUCAUACAUUACAGAGUAUCCUACAGGUAUAAGCUUAUCCCAUUUGAUUUGUAUUACCUCAUACAUUGCAGAGAAUCAUUCAGGUAAAAGCUUAUCCCAUUUGAUUUGAAUUACCUCAUACAUUGCAGAGUAUCGUACAGGUAUAAGCUUAUCCCAUUUGAUUUGUAAAACUCGUACAUUGCAGAGUAUAGUACUGGUAUAAGCUUAUCCCUUUUGAUUUGUAUUGCCUUGUCCACUACAGAGUAUCAUGCAGGUAUAAGCUUAUCCCUUUUGAUUUGUAUUGCCUCAUACAUUGCAGAGUAUCCUGCAGGGAUAAGCUUAUCCCAUUUGAUAUGUAUAACCUGUACAUUGCAGAGUAUCGUAGUGGUAUAAGCUUAUCCCUUUUGAUUUGUACUACCUCAUACAUUGCAGAGUAUCGUACUGGUAUAAGCUUAUCCCAUUUGAUUUGUUUUACUCGUACAUUGCAGAGUAUCCUACAGGUAUAAGCUUAUCCCUUUUGAUAUGAAUUACCUCAUACAUCGCAGAGUAUCUUACAGGUAUAAGCUUAUCCCAUUUGAUUUGUAUUGCCUCAUACAUUACAGAGUAUCCUACUGGUAUAAGCUUAUCCCAUUUGAUUUGUAUUACUCGUACAUUGCAGAGAAUCAUUCAGGUAUUAGCUUAUCCCAUUUGAUUUGAAUUACCGGUACGUCAUACAUCGCAGAGUUUCAUACAGAGAUAAGCUUAUCCCAUUUGAUUUGAAUUACCUCAUACAUUGCAGAGUAUCGUAAAGGGAUAAGCUUAUCCCUUUUGGUAUGUAUUGCCUCGUACAUUGUAGAGUAUCCUACAGGUAUAAGCUUAUCCCAUUUGAUUUGUAAAACUCGUACAUUGCAGAGUAUAAUACUGGUAUAAGCUUAUCCCUUUUGAUUUGUAUUGCCUUGUCCACUACAGAGUAUCAUGCAGGUAUAAGCUUAUCCCUUUUGGUUUGUACUACCUCAUACAUUGCAGAGUAUCCUGCAGGGAUAAGCUUAUCCCAUUUAAUUUGAAUUUCUGGUACCUCAUACAUUGCAAAGUUUCCUACAGGGAUAAGCUUAUCCCAUUUGAUUUGAAUUACCUCAUACAUUGCAGAGUAUCGUACAGGGAUAAGCUUAUCCCUUUUGAUAUGUAUUGCCUCAUACAUUGUAGAGUAUCGUACAGGGAUAAGUUCAUCCCGUUUGAUUUGUAUUACCUCAUACAUUGCGAAGUAUCAUACAGGUAUAAGCUUAUCCCAUUUGAUUUGAAUUUCUUGUACCUCAUACAUUGCAAAGUAUCCUACAGGGAUAAGCUUAUCCCUUUUUGGUGAUUCGUACUACCUCAUGCAGUGCAGAGUAUGAUACAGAUAUAAGCUAAUCCCUCAAACUGUCUGGCUUUCGUGUCGAGGUAUAAGCUUAUACCCUAAUUAUCCAGUUUCAAUUAUAUGAGUUUAUAUGAUAUACUGGCUACAUGACGAGGUAUAAGCUUAUCCCUAAAACUAUUCUGGUUUUAAAGUCCAUGUUUAUAACUUAUACAAAUCCGACCACCUUCAAGAUACAAGCUUAUACAUUUUUUCAAACAAUGUUGUUUGCUCAAUGAUAUUCAAUCGUAUUUAUUGUUGAAUAAUUGUAAAGUUCUCUUUUGGAUUUGUUUUGUGAAAUAAAUUGUAUAUCUUUAACCGA